rnacentral:rRNA from 1 species
AUACGGAGGGUGCAAACGUUGUUCGGAAUUACUGGGCGUAAAGCGCGCGUAGGCGGUUUGUUAAGUCAGAUGUGAAAGCCCAAGGCUCAACCUUGGACGUGCAUUUGAAACUGGCAGACUUGAGUACUGGAGGGGGUGGUGGAAUUCCCGGUGUAGAGGUGAAAUUCGUAGAUAUCGGGAGGAAUACCGGUGGCGAAGGCGACCACCUGGCCAGAUACUGACGCUGAGGUGCGAAAGCGUGGGGAGCAAACAGGAUUAGAAACCCUAGUAGUCC